UACGUAGGGGGCAAGCGUUGUCCGGAUUCAUUGGGCGUAAAGAGCGUGUAGGCGGCCUGAAAGGUCAGCUGUGAAAACUCGAGGCUCAACCUCGAGACGUCGGUUGAAACCAUCUGGCUAGAGUCCGGAAGAGGAGUGUGGAAUUCCCGGUGUAGCGGUGAAAUGCGCAGAUAUCGGGAAGAACACCCGUGGCGAAGGCGGCACUCUGGGCCGAUACUGACGCUGAGGAGCGAAAGCGUGGGGAGCGAACAGG
rnacentral:rRNA from 1 species